CAAGGCAGCAGGCAACGACAUGUAGAGUUGAUCCAAUCCUCUUCAGUUUGGGCAAGUCCAAGGGUUUGAAAGUGUAAACCACACCGAACGGGUGCAAAUUAGUCAUCCUCUCAGUGUCCGAAAUUGCACAAUCCUGUCUGACAUCUCUCUACCACCUCCACCUCCUGAUGAGGAUGUAACACCCAUGACUGUAUAUAAAAUAAGUGCUUUUUUCUUUUCUCAGCAUUUAAGGAUCCACCAUAGGAUCCACCAUACCGGAUUAAAUGUCUGUUAAAAAAUAGUUCAGGAAAUGCUAGCGUUCAAGAAAUCAUGGUCGACCCUAAAAAAACACCAUUGAGAGAAAGCAUGUACACAAUCUUAAGUAUGGAGAACUGAUGGCAAUCACACUGAAGAGAACAUCCCCCAAAGACUCCCUCCACCAUCAAAAACCGUUAAGAGAGUUUGUCAAGGAUCUGCAGCCUAACUCGAAGAUCUUAUCAAGGCCCACACCACGCUCCAGGAUUGAAGCUACCAAGGAAAUGAAGGUGACUGAGGCCUCGAGAGGAGUUGACCACAUCACCAUCACCACCAACUGAUUGUCUGCAAGAAGACUGAGCUUCAUUGGUGCUACAGCCCAUUGGAUAGACCCUGACAGUCUGACCCUGACAGUCACACACCUUUGAUGUGUUGGCAGGGGCCCUAAAUCCAUUCUGAGUUUGAAAUCCGGGUUAAGAUUGAGAGAACAGACAACAGCUCUAAUUUCUUAAACUUUACAAGGUUUUGUAGAAGAUGAUAACAACAAGACUGUAGAAGCAGUGGGUGGUGAAGCAGCAGCUCAGCCAGGACAUGAAGGGGAACAAGAGGAGAGUGAAGAAGUCGAAUUUGUUGAGUAGGCAACGAUCCUCAAUGAAGAUGGUUUUGAGUACCAGCUGCCGAAGCACCAGCGCUGUGCUUGUCAACUACUCAACUUAGUAUCUACAGUCGAUGCCCUGAAAGCAACAUCCGGUGAGGCUUACAAAAAGGUGUCCCGUUCAACAUUUGACAAGUGCUAAGCACUUUGGAACAUGCGGAAGAUCCACACUUACAGCCGAAUCAGUUGAAUCGACCUCCAAGUGCCAUGCCCGAAUGCUACAAGGUGGAACUCCUGGUUCAUGGCUGUAGAAAUGCUCCUGAGAAUCUUCAAAGACAAAGGAUAGGCGGCCGUCAGAGUUCUCUGCACAUUGUUCAAACCAGCUGAACUCGCCUUCCUCAGUGUUUGCUGCCACCAUGAGCCCAGUCGCUAUGGCCGUCAACAUCCUGCCGGCUGAAACCAAUGUCCAGAUGGGGUGGCUACUUCCAACUAUCAAACUGCUGAUCACAAAACUGGAAUGAAUCAAGUUGUCCCUGAAGUUCUGUAAGCCUCUGGUGGAUGCGCUACAACUGGGACUGAAUCAAGUUGUCCCUGAAGUCCUGUAAGUCUCUGGUGGAUGUGCUACAACUGGAACUGAAUCAAGUUGUCCCUGAAGUUCUGUAAGCCUCUGGUGGAUGCGCUACAACUGGGACUGAAUCAAGUUGUCCCUGAAGUUCUGUAAGCCUCUGGUGGAUGUGCUACAACUGGGACUGAACAAGUUGUCCCUGAAGUACUGUAAGCCUCUGGUGGAUGUGCUACAACUGGGACUGAAUCAAGUUGUCCCUGAAGUUCUGUAAGCCUCUGGUGGAUGUGCUACAACUGGGACUGAACAAGUUGUCCCUGAAGUACUGUAAGCCUCUGGUGGAUGUGCUACAACUGGGACUGAAUCAAGUUGUCCCUGAAGUUCUGUAAGCCUCUGGUGGAUGUGCUACAACUGGGACUGAAUCAAGUUGUCCCUGAAGUACUGUAAGCCUCUGGUGGAUGUGCUACAACUGGAACUGAAUCAAGUUGUCCCUGAAGUACUGUAAGCCUCUGGUGGAUGUGCUACAACUGGGACUGAAUCAAGUUGUCCCUGCAGUACUGUAAGCCUCUGGAUGUGCUACAACUGGGACUGAAUCAAGUUGUCCCUGAAGUACUGUACGCCUCUUGUGAUUGCGCUACAACUGGGACUGAAUCAAGUUGUCACGGAAGUUCUGUAAGCCUCUGGUGGAUGUGCUACAACUGGGACUGAAUCAAGUUGUCCCUGAAGUACUGUACGCCUCUGGAUGUGCUACAACUGGGACUGAAUCAAGUUGUCCCUGAAGUUCUGUAAGCCUCUUGUGAUUGCGCUACAACUGGGACUGAAUCAAGUUGUCCCUGAAGUACUGUACGCCUCUGGAUGUGCUACAACUGGGACUGAAUCAAGUUGUCCCUGAAGUAGGGCAUCCACCAGAGGCUUACAGUACAACUGGGACUGAAGAAGCGCUUCAGCCACAUUUCACCACCCUGAACUGAUUGCAGCCGCAAUCCUUUUCCCCAAAAUCAAAACAUGGACAAAGGAUGACGCCACCAUCAGAAUGGGAAUGGACUACAUCAAGGACCUGGAAGAACCCUUGCUGCAUCUACGUGAUGGCACCAGUUCAUCAGAUGAGGACUUCUUCUCUGCAUUGAAGACUUCUCCAAACAGCAGAACGGACGUCUGGCCUGUUCAGCUGAUCAUAUGGAGUUGCUCAAGUCCUUCUUGGCAGUCUGUAAGUCUGUCUCUGUGGUUAAUCACACCCUUAGCUGCAUCAGCUAUUGCUGAAAGUGAUUUGUAAAUUCUUCAACUUCAAGUAAUGACAUCUUAAUACUACUAGCAAGCCCGAUGACACGGGUGCCUUAUGCGUUUUGUUAAUUUAUGUUUAAAAUUCACAUGUUAUAUGUGUCCUUGUACAAAGACCUGAGACACUGAUUUCUAAUACAGUUCCAUCAGUGGUGAUGUCCUCAUAUUCCUACAGUGAGAUUGUGUUCGGUUCUGUACAUGUACUUUUUAUGUAAUGUAGGAUGUUUUUCUAAAGCAACGUGACUGUACGUGUAAGUGCUUAAGUUUACUGGCUAUAUUACUUCAUUAGUAUUUUGUCUGUAAGAGAUGUAUUUUGAAGUGUUGCCUGUUUGAGAAUCAACAUUCCUUUUUAAAAAUCUAAACUUCGUGCAUCCUUUAGAAUGUUACCUUUAUGAAAAGAGCAAACCAAAUAAAAGGGCAGGCUGUUUUGCUUUUUGGAAUUACGGCUCUUACGUUUCAUACUUUUACUUUUGAUAUUUAAGUACAUUUACCUUGCUGUUAUUUAAUAUCAGGUACUUUAAAACUUUUAUUCAAGUAGUAUUCUAUUGUGUGCAUUUUACUUGAGUAAUUUUCCAGUAAAGUGUCUUUUACUUUUACUCAAGUAU